rnacentral:rRNA from 1 species
UUCGCCCUUAGAGUUUGAUCCUGGCUCAGGACGAACGCUGGCGGCGUGCUUAACACAUGCAAGUCGAACGAGAAUCUGUGGAACGAGGAUUCGUCCAAGGGAAACAGAGGACAGUGGCGGACGGGUGAGUAACGCGUGAGUAACCUGCCCUGGAGUGGGGGACAACAGUUGGAAACGACUGCUAAUACCGCAUAAGCCCACGAUCCGGCAUCGGAUUGAGGGAAAAGGAUUUAUUCGCUUCAGGAUGGACUCGCGUCCAAUUAGCUAGUUGGUGAGGUAACGGCCCACCAAGCCGACGAUCGGUAGCCGACCUGAGAGGGUGAUCGGCUACAUUGGGACUGAGACACGGCCCAAACUCCUACGGGAGGCAGCAGUGGGGAAUAUUGGGCAAUGGAGGAAACUCUGACCCAGCAACGCCGCGUGGAGGAAGAAGGUUUUCGGAUCGUAAACUCCUGUCCUUGGAGACGAGUAGAAGACGGUAUCCAAGGAGGAAGCCCCGGCUAACUACGUGCCAGCAGCCGCGGUAAUACGUAGGGGGCAAGCGUUGUCCGGAAUAAUUGGGCGUAAAGGGCGCGUAGGCGGCUCAGUAAGUCUGGAGUGAAAGUCCUGCUUUUAAGGUGGGAAUUGCUUUGGAUACUGUCGGGCUUGAGUGCAGGAGAGGUUAGUGGAAUUCCCAGUGUAGCGGUGAAAUGCGUAGAGAUUGGGAGGAACACCAGUGGCGAAGGCGACUAACUGGACUGUAACUGACGCUGAGGCGCGAAAGUGUGGGGAGCAAACAGGAUUAGAUACCCUGGUAGUCCACACUGUAAACGAUGAAUGCUAGGUGUAGGGGGUAUCGACCCCUUCUGUGCCGCAGUCAACACAAUAAGCAUUCCGCCUGGGGAGUACGGCCGCAAGGUUGAAACUCAAAGGAAUUGACGGGGGCCCGCACAAGCAGCGGAGCAUGUGGUUUAAUUCGACGCAACGCGAAGAACCUUACCAGGUCUUGACAUCCACUUAAACUUACAGAGAUGUAAGGUGUGCUUGCACAAAGUGAGACAGGUGGUGCAUGGUUGUCGUCAGCUCGUGUCGUGAGAUGUUGGGUUAAGUCCCGCAACGAGCGCAACCCUUAUCUUCAGUUACUAACGCGUGAGGGUGAGGACUCUGAAGAGACUGCCGGGGACAACUCGGAGGAAGGUGGGGACGACGUCAAAUCAUCAUGCCCCUUAUGACCUGGGCUACACACGUGCUACAAUGGCCACGACAGAGAGAAGCGAAAUCGCAAGGUAGAGCGGAACUCAAAAAAGUGGUCCCAGUUCGGAUUGUGGGCUGCAACCCGCCCACAUGAAGUCGGAGUUGCUAGUAAUCGCGGAUCAGCAUGCCGCGGUGAAUACGUUCCCGGGCCUUGCACACACCGCCCGUCA